GAUGAACGCUGGCGGCGUGCCUAACACAUGCAAGUCGAGCGUGAUUCUAAUGAGUGGAGACUUCGGUCAAAGCGAGUUAGAUGAAAGCGGCGGACGGGUGAGUAACGCGUGGGCAACCUGCCCCAUACAGAGGGAUAGCCACUGGAAACGGUGAUUAAUACCUCAUAGGACCACGACAUCGCAUGAUGAUGUGGCCAAAGAUUUAUCGGUGAUGGGAUGGGCCCGCGUCUGAUUAGCUAGUUGGUGAGGUAAUGGCUCACCAAGGCGACGAUCAGUAACCGGACUGAGAGGGCGGACGGUCACACUGGAACUGAGACACGGUCCAGACUCCUACGGGAGGCAGAAGUGGGGAAUAUUGCACAAUGGGCGCAAGCCUGAUGCAGCAACGCCGCGUGAGUGAAGAAGGCCUUCGGGUCGUAAAGCUCUGUCCUCUGGGACGAAGAAAUGACGGUACUAGAGGAGGAAGCCCCGGCUAACUACGUGCCAGCCGCCGCAGUAA
rnacentral:rRNA from 1 species